rnacentral:rRNA from 1 species
CACUCCUGCGGGAGGCAGCAGUGGGGAAUAUUGGACAAUGGGCGCAAGCCUGAUCCAGCCAUGCCGCGUGAGUGAUGAAGGCCCUAGGGUUGUAAAGCUCUUUCACCGGUGAAGAUAAUGACGGUAACCGGAGAAGAAGCCCCGGCUAACUUCGUGCCAGCAGCCGCGGUAAUACGCAGGGGGCUAGCGUUGUUCGGAUUUACUGGGCGUAAAGCGCACGUAGGCGGACUAUUAAGUCAGGGGUGAAAUCCCGGGGCUCAACCCCGGAACUGCCUUUGAUACUGGUAGUCUUGAGUUCGAGAGAGGUGAGUGGAAUUCCGAGUGUAGAGGUGAAAUUCGUAGAUAUUCGGAGGAACACCAGUGGCGAAGGCGGCUCACUGGCUCGAUACUGACGCUGAGGUGCGAAAGCGUGGGGAGCAAACAGGAUUAGAUACCCGUGUAGUCCCA